GGACCCGCACAAGCAGUGGAGUAUGUGGUUUAAUUCGAGGCAACGCGAAGAACCUUACCAAGGCUUGACAUCCCGCGACAAACGUGGAAACACGUCUUCCCCUUCGGGGGCGCGGAGACAGGUGGUGCAUGGUUGUCGUCAGCUCGUGUCGUGAGAUGUUGGGUUAAGUCCCGCAACGAGCGCAACCCCUGCUGCCAGUUGCCAUCAUUAAGUUGGGCACUCUGGCGGGACUGCCGGUGACAAAUCGGAGGAAGGUGGGGAUGACGUCAAAUCAUCAUGCCCCUUAUGUCUUGGGCUACACACGUACUACAAUGGCCGUUACAGAAGGAAGCGAAGCCGCGAGGCGGAGCGAAUCCCAAAAGGCGGCCCCAGUUCGGAUUGCAGGCUGAAACUCGCCUGCAUGAAGUCGGAAUUGCUAGUAAUUGCAGGUCAGCAUACUGCAGUGAAUACGUUCCCGGGUCUU
rnacentral:rRNA from 1 species